UUUGAGGACGAUAAUCUCCUCGAUGAGAUCCUCAUCCGCCUCCCCGCGCUGCCAGCCUCCCUCCCCGGCGCCUCGCUCGUCUGCACGCGCUGGCGCAGCGUCGUCUCUGACCCCGGCUUCCGACGCCGAUUCCGCGAACGCAACCCAGCUCUUCUGGAAAUAUCAUGGCAUUACAUAGACCCCCAAGGAGUUGUGCAAGGGCCAUUUGCAAUGCAUCAGCUCUGCAGUUGGCUGAAGGCUGGUUACUUCUCUAAGGACUUCAGAGUGUGGAGAACAGACCAAACAAUGGACCAAGCUAUCUUGCUAGUACAAGCUGCAAAAAUGAUAGACUACUUGCGGCUUGGAAAUGAAAUUGAGUUAAUCAAUCUUGAUUAGUCUUAGUCGGACUAUUAUGUGCACUUGUUUAAGACUCUUCUGGAAAUAUCAUGGCAUUACAUAGACCCCCAUGGUGUUGUGCAAGGGCCAUUUGCAAUGCAUCAGCUCUGCAGUUGCCUGAAGGUUGGUUACUUCCCUAAAGACUUCAGAGUGUGGAGAACGGGCCAAAGAAUGAUAGACUACUUGCGGCUUGGAAAUGAAAUUGAGAUAAUCCAUCUUGAUUAGUUCUUAAUCGGACUAUUAUGUGCACUUGUUUAAGAGUAAGUUAUACUUCAUCUUGGAGGACACCCCAACAGAGGCUCCAUUUUUAGGAGUUAUGCUAGAGCUGCUCUUAAGUUUCUCAAUGUUAGGUUAAGUAUCUGUUGUUUUAGCAUAAUUAAUCCUUAAGGAUUCCCUGCUAUCCUUAUCUUUAACGCAGAAAUCGCUCAUUGUAAUCCAAUCGUUAUAUGACAAACCAAUUAUAACCGUUGGUGUCAGAGGAUUCAUAU